UCGCACGAAGAAAGGGAGCCAAUCCUAAGUAAAGUGGCGCACGGGUGAGUAACACGUGGAUUAUCUACCUUUUAGUGGGGAAUACCUCUGGGAAACCGGAGACAAUACCGCAUAAGCCUGUAAAGGGAAAGCAGCAAUGCGCUGAAAGAGGAGUCCGCGGCCGAUUAGCUAGUUGGCGGGGUAACGGCCCACCAAGGCGAAGAUCGGUAGCCGGCCUGAGAGGACACACGGCCACACCGGCACUGAAACACGGGCCAGACUCCUACGGGAGGCAGCAGUGGGGAAUCUUGCACAAUGGGCGAAAGCCUGAUGCAGCGACGCCGCGUGAGCGAUGAAGCCCUUCGGGGUGUAAAGCUCUUUCGACGGGAACGAUAAUGACGGUACCCGGAGAAGAAGCUGCGGCUAACUACGUGCCAGCAGCCGCGGUAAUACGUAGGCAGCGAGCGUUGUUCGGAAUUACUGGGCGUAAAGAGUGUGUAGGCGGUGUUCCCAGUCUGUUGUGAAAUCUCCCGGCUUAACUGGGAGGGUGCAGCGGAAACUAGAAUGCUAGAGGGUGGGAGAGGUAAGCGGAAUUCCUGGUGUGGCGGUGAAAUGCGUAGAUAUCAGGAGGAACACCUGUGGUGUAGACAGCUUACUGGACCACUUCUGACGCUGAGACACGAAAGCGUGGGUAGCAAACAGGAUUAGAUACCCUGGUAGUCCACGCCCCUAACGAUGCAUACUUGGUGUGAGCGAU
rnacentral:rRNA from 1 species